rnacentral:tRNA from 1 species
UUUAACCUCUCCUUAAUGA